GGGUUGUGAGGUUAAGCGACUAAGCGUACACGGUGGAUGCCCUGGCAGUCAGAGGCGAUGAAGGACGUGCUAAUCUGCGAUAAGCGUCGGUAAGGUGAUAUGAACCGUUAUAACCGGCGAUUUCCGAAUGGGGAAACCCAGUGUGUUUCGACACACUAUCAUUAACUGAAUCCAUAGGUUAAUGAGGCGAACCGGGGAACUGAAACAUCUAAGUACCCCGAGGAAAAGAAAUCAACCGAGAUUCCCCCAGUAGCGGCGAGCGAACGGGGAGCAGCCCAGAGCCUGAAUCAGUGUGUGUGUUAGUGGAAGCGUCUGGAAAGGCGCGCGAUACAGGGUGACAGCCCCGUACACAAAAAUGCACAUGCUGUGAGCUCGAUGAGUAGGGCGGGACACGUGGUAUCCUGUCUGAAUAUGGGGGGACCAUCCUCCAAGGCUAAAUACUCCUGACUGACCGAUAGUGAACCAGUACCGUGAGGGAAAGGCGAAAAGAACCCCGGCGAGGGAGUGAAAAAGAACCUGAAACCGUGUACGUACAAGCAGUGGGAGCCUCUUUUAUGGGGUGACUGCGUACCUUUUGUAUAAUGGGUCAGCGACUUAUAUUCUGUAGCAAGGUUAACCGAAUAGGGGAGCCGAAGGGAAACCGAGUCUUAACUGGGCGUUAAGUUGCAGGGUAUAGACCCGAAACCCGGUGAUCUAGCCAUGGGCAGGUUGAAGGUUGGGUAACACUAACUGGAGGACCGAACCGACUAAUGUUGAAAAAUUAGCGGAUGACUUGUGGCUGGGGGUGAAAGGCCAAUCAAACCGGGAGAUAGCUGGUUCUCCCCGAAAGCUAUUUAGGUAGCGCCUCGUGAAUUCAUCUCCGGGGUAGAGCACUGUUUCGGCAAGGGGGUCAUCCCGACUUACCAACCCGAUGCAAACUGCGAAUACCGGAGAAUGUUAUCACGGGAGACACACGGCGGGUGCUAACGUCCGUCGUGAAGAGGGAAACAACCCAGACCGCCAGCUAAGGUCCCAAAGUCAUGGUUAAGUGGGAAACGAUGUGGGAAGGCCCAGACAGCCAGGAUGUUGGCUUAGAAGCAGCCAUCAUUUAAAGAAAGCGUAAUAGCUCACUGGUCGAGUCGGCCUGCGCGGAAGAUGUAACGGGGCUAAACCAUGCACCGAAGCUGCGGCAGCGACGCUUAUGCGUUGUUGGGUAGGGGAGCGUUCUGUAAGCCUGUGAAGGUGUGCUGUGAGGCAUGCUGGAGGUAUCAGAAGUGCGAAUGCUGACAUAAGUAACGAUAAAGCGGGUGAAAAGCCCGCUCGCCGGAAGACCAAGGGUUCCUGUCCAACGUUAAUCGGGGCAGGGUGAGUCGACCCCUAAGGCGAGGCCGAAAGGCGUAGUCGAUGGGAAACAGGUUAAUAUUCCUGUACUUGGUGUUACUGCGAAGGGGGACGGAGAAGGCUAUGUUGGCCGGGCGACGGUUGUCCCGGUUUAAGCGUGUAGGCUGGUUUUCCAGGCAAAUCCGGAAAAUCAAGGCUGAGGCGUGAUGACGAGGCACUACGGUGCUGAAGCAACAAAUGCCCUGCUUCCAGGAAAAGCCUCUAAGCAUCAGGUAACAUCAAAUCGUACCCCAAACCGACACAGGUGGUCAGGUAGAGAAUACCAAGGCGCUUGAGAGAACUCGGGUGAAGGAACUAGGCAAAAUGGUGCCGUAACUUCGGGAGAAGGCACGCUGAUAUGUAGGUGAAGCGACUUGCUCGUGGAGCUGAAAUCAGUCGAAGAUACCAGCUGGCUGCAACUGUUUAUUAAAAACACAGCACUGUGCAAACACGAAAGUGGACGUAUACGGUGUGACGCCUGCCCGGUGCCGGAAGGUUAAUUGAUGGGGUUAGCGCAAGCGAAGCUCUUGAUCGAAGCCCCGGUAAACGGCGGCCGUAACUAUAACGGUCCUAAGGUAGCGAAAUUCCUUGUCGGGUAAGUUCCGACCUGCACGAAUGGCGUAAUGAUGGCCAGGCUGUCUCCACCCGAGACUCAGUGAAAUUGAACUCGCUGUGAAGAUGCAGUGUACCCGCGGCAAGACGGAAAGACCCCGUGAACCUUUACUAUAGCUUGACACUGAACAUUGAGCCUUGAUGUGUAGGAUAGGUGGGAGGCUUUGAAGUGUGGACGCCAGUCUGCAUGGAGCCGACCUUGAAAUACCACCCUUUAAUGUUUGAUGUUCUAACGUUGACCCGUAAUCCGGGUUGCGGACAGUGUCUGGUGGGUAGUUUGACUGGGGCGGUCUCCUCCUAAAGAGUAACGGAGGAGCACGAAGGUUGGCUAAUCCUGGUCGGACAUCAGGAGGUUAGUGCAAUGGCAUAAGCCAGCUUGACUGCGAGCGUGACGGCGCGAGCAGGUGCGAAAGCAGGUCAUAGUGAUCCGGUGGUUCUGAAUGGAAGGGCCAUCGCUCAACGGAUAAAAGGUACUCCGGGGAUAACAGGCUGAUACCGCCCAAGAGUUCAUAUCGACGGCGGUGUUUGGCACCUCGAUGUCGGCUCAUCACAUCCUGGGGCUGAAGUAGGUCCCAAGGGUAUGGCUGUUCGCCAUUUAAAGUGGUACGCGAGCUGGGUUUAGAACGUCGUGAGACAGUUCGGUCCCUAUCUGCCGUGGGCGCUGGAGAACUGAGGGGGGCUGCUCCUAGUACGAGAGGACCGGAGUGGACGCAUCACUGGUGUUCGGGUUGUCAUGCCAAUGGCACUGCCCGGUAGCUAAAUGCGGAAGAGAUAAGUGCUGAAAGCAUCUAAGCACGAAACUUGCCCCGAGAUGAGUUCUCCCUGACUCCUUGAGAGUCCUGAAGGAACGUUGAAGACGACGACGUUGAUAGGCCGGGUGUGUAAGCGCAGCGAUGCGUUGAGCUAACCGGUACUAAUGAACCGUGAGGCUUAACCUUACAACGCCGAAGGUGUUU
rnacentral:rRNA from 1 species